rnacentral:rRNA from 1 species
GGGCUACACGACACGCUACAAUGGUCUGUACAAUGGGUAAGCCAAGCCGCGAGGCGGAGCCAAUCCUGAAAGCAGGCCUCAGUUCAGAUUGCAGUCUGCAACUCGACUGCAUGAAGCCGGAGUUGCUAGUAACCGCAGGUCAGCAAUACUGCGGUGAAUACGUUCCCGGGUCUU